GUCUUUUUGAAAGGAAUUUAAAGUCUAGUCUGCCCACUGAUAUUAUUAAAUGGCCGCAGUAUUUUAACUGUGCAAAGGUAGCAUAAUCAUUAGUCUUUUAAUUGAGGGCUUGUAUGAAUGAUUGAACGAGAUAUAAACUGUCUUAAAUAAAAUAUUUUGAAUUUUAUUUUUUAGUUAAAAAGCUAAAAUAAGUUUAAAAGACGAGAAGACCCUAUAGAUCUUUAUAAAAAUUAUAUUUAUUUUUUUUAGUUAUAUUUUAAAUUAAUAUUUUUUUUUAUUAUAUUGGGGGUGAUAUUGAAAUUUAAUAAACUUUCAAUAAUUUUAAACCAUUAAUUUAUGAAUAAUUGAUCCUUUAUUAGUGAUUAUAAAUUUAAGUUACCUUAGGGAUAACAGCGUAAUUAUUUUGGAGAGUUCUUAUCGAUAAAAUAGAUUGCGACCUCGAUGUUGGAUUAAGAUUAAUUUUGGGUGUAGCAGUUCAAAAAAUUAAGUCUGUUCGACUUUUAAUUUCUU
rnacentral:rRNA from 1 species